rnacentral:rRNA from 1 species
UACGGAGGAUCCGAGCGUUAUCCGGAUUUAUUGGGUUUAAAGGGUGCGCAGGCGGGUUGCUAAGUCGGUGGUGAAAUCCCGGGGCUCAACCCCUGGCUUGCCAUCGAAACUGGUUACCUUGAGUAUGGGUGAGGCAGGCGGAAUUCGUGGUGUAGCGGUGAAAUGCAUAGAUAUCACGAGGAACCCCGAUCGCGUAGGCAGCUUGCCAUUCCAUCACUGACGCUCAUGCACGAAGGCGUGGGGAUCAAACAGGAUUAGAUACCCUGGUAGUCCACGCGGUAAACGAUGAUUACUGGCUGUUCGCGAUACACUGUGAGCGGCCCAGCGAAAGCGUUAAGUAAUCCACCUGGGGAGUACGUUCGCAAGAAUGAAACUCAAAGGAAUUGACGGGGGCCCGCACAAGCGGAGGAACAUGUGGUUUAAUUCGAUGAUACGCGAGGAACCUUACCCGGGCUUGAAAUGCGGACGACCGGCGGUGAGACCCGCCUUCCUUUCGGGGCGUCCGCGUAGGUGCUGCAUGGUU